CCAACAGUUUAGGAAUUAGGGGCCAAAAAGGGACCCAAAUAAGCAUUUUUCUUGGUUUUCGCACCAUAACGUUAGUAUAAGUAAAUAGAAAUCUAUGAAAUUUAAACAAGGUUUAUGACCAUAAAAGGAAGGUUGGUAUUGAUUUUGGGAGUUUUGGUCCCAACAGAAUAAGGGGCCCAAAGGGUCAAAAAUUAAACUUUGUUUGAUUUCAUCAAAAUUGAAUAAUUGGGGUUCUUUGAUAUGCCGAAUCUAACUGUCAUGACUGUGUAUGUAGAUUCUUAACUUUUGGUCCCGUUUUCUAAUUGGUCUACAUUAAGGUCCAAAGGGUCCAAAAUUAAACUUAGUUUGAUUUUGACAAAAAAUGAAUCAGUUAGGUUCUUUGAUAUGCUGAAUCUAAAAAUGUACUUAGAUUCUUGAUUAUUGGCC
rnacentral:lncRNA from 1 species